UACGGAGGGGGCUGGCGUUGUUCGGAAUUACUGGGCGUAAAGCGCACGUAGGCGGCUUUGCAAGUCAGAGGUGAAAGCCCGGGGCUCAACCCCGGAAUUGCCUUUGAGACUGCAUCGCUAGAAUUGUGGAGAGGUAAGUGGAAUUCCGAGUGUAGAGGUGAAAUUCGUAGAUAUUCGGAAGAACACCAGUGGCGAAGGCGACUUACUGGACACAUAUUGACGCUGAGGUGCGAAAGCGUGGGGAGCAAACAGG
rnacentral:rRNA from 1 species